GACGAACGCUGGCGGCGUGCUUAACACAUGCAAGUCGAACGAUGACGACCGAGCUUGCUCGGUCUGAUUAGUGGCGAACGGGUGAGUAACACGUGAGCAACCUGCCCUUCACUCUGGGAUAACCUCGGGAAAUCGGGGCUAAUACCGGAUAUGAGCUACUGUCGCAUGGUGGGUGUUGGAAGGUUUUUCGGUGAAGGAUGGGCUCGGGCCCUAUAAGUUGGUUGGCGAGGUAGUGGCUCACCAAGGCGAUGACGGGUAGCCGGCCUGAGAGGGCGACCGGCCACGCUGGGACUGAGACACGGCCCAGACUCCUACGGGAGGCAGCAGUGGAGAAUAUUGCACAAUGGGCGAAAGCCUGAUGCAGCGACGCCGCGUGAGGGAUGACGGCCUUCGCGUUGUAAACCUCUUUCAGCAGGGAAGAAGCGAAAGUGACGGUACCUGCAGAAGAAGCGCCGGCUAACUACGUG
rnacentral:rRNA from 1 species